CACAAAUCUCCCAAGGAGACUCUCUCACAGACCUACCAUAUCAGGGUCUUUUGACACCCCUGGAUGCUUCCUACGAUGCUCUUGGCCAUGGAUUCUCUCCUUUCAGGCACUUUUAGCUGCUACCUCUCGCUCCUAAGCCGGCAUGCUCCUUUAAAGACAUCAGAAUCAAGUACAGAUCGAAAUCCAGGCUCUAUUAGGACUUGAUACAUUUUUGACUGUCCGAUCUCUUCUGCACGCACCCAUCACCAUCUAAUCAUGCAAAACCCCCUGU
rnacentral:lncRNA from 1 species